UCUAUCUGUAUGCGUGGAGCUGGGAUUCCUUCCCGUCCCAUCCCGUUCCGAUAUGUGGCCAUGUCCACGAUAGAAUACGAUCCGAGGUCGAUCGUCCCACUCGACCGUACGGAGACAAGCAUACUACAUCGACACACAAGUCGCCGAUGAUCGUAUUCUGGGUUGGAAUCAGGGAGGAGAAGGAAGAAGUCGAUGUCAGGCAUGAUCGUAUUAGCAAUGGAGGACGCCAUGCUCCGCAGGAUGGAAGAAGGCCGGCGAGCCGGGGCGGCCAUCGGGGUCCCGGUCGUCCAACCCAACCACCCUCGCACACGCAAGCUUAGUGCUUUCGAGAAGCGCUUCCUAAGGGGUUUCGCAAUCACUCUUGGAAUCAUAUUGACGGUUGUGAUCAUCGCAAUGAAGGAGCCUGGCCCCUGGAUAAAGCUAUUUUCUUUACCUCCAAUUUUAUUUGGACCUGUCAGCUGCCUUGUGUGGUCUUUCGAGGACUCUUCGGAGGAUGAGAAUUAGUUUACUUUUCAUUUACAGAAAAUUAGAUGUUUUUAUACGGAAACAUUUUGAUGAACCUUGGGCUUUGGUUGAGCUUAGCCAGAUGCUGCAGAAGUUGCUAGUGCUCUUGAGUAUGCAAGAAGAACUUGCUCAAACCAAAAACUAACUUGCAUUGAGGUCAAAAUGGUAGGAUGAGAUAUGUCAUCUUGAUUGAUGAUGCAAAUACUUUGA